GCUUUAUAUUUAAAGUUUAUUAUUUAUUUAGAUGUUUCUUUAUAAUACUCGUAUAAAUAUUUUGUUGGGGUGACAGGAAGAUAAAUAAAACUCUUUUUAGUUUAUUUACAUUGAUAUAUGAAUUGUUGAUCCAUUAUUAUUGAUUAUAAGACUAAGU
rnacentral:rRNA from 1 species